AGGGGAUCUCUCCGAUGGGAACGCCGUUGGUGUUCACCGGGAUUACCUAAACGAACCACAGGACAGAGACGGUACAGGUGAUGGUAAAAAAGCACUGGAACGUAGUGCAGGAACGGUCGUUCAGACCUCAAAGGUGUUCUUGAGAAGAGGCGGUCCGUCCGGUCGGACGAUACACAUCAGAGCUGGACGGAGAAACACAAGGAAAGCACAAAAAUGACAACAUCCGCAGAGGAACACUAAAUAUGUAACAUUCAACUCAAUGAGCCGCUUUUCUCCUUUAAAAUCUACUGGAAUGAUCGUGUUAAAUCUUUAAAAAUGUCAGUAUAUCAAAGAACACAAACACUGGAGCUCUGGUGGUAAAGGGUUAACGUAUAUUUUCAGAGAAAUCGUGACUUCUUUUGAGGAAAUAAAGAAUUUACCAAAACA